UACGGAGGGUGCAAGCGUUGUCCGGAUUCACUGGGUGUAAAGGGCGUGUAGGCGGGAGGAUGUGUCGGAAGUGAAAUCGUGCGGCUUAACCGUAACAAUUGCUUCCGAAACUGUCCUUCUUGAGUACGAGAGAGGCAGAUAGAAUUCCAGGUGUAGCGGUGGAAUGCGUAGAUAUCUGGAAGAAUACCCGUGGCGAAGGCGGUCUGCUGGCUCGAUACUGACGCUGAGGCGCGAAAGUGUGGGGAGCAAACAGG
rnacentral:rRNA from 1 species